UUUAGUAUCAGGACGCUCCGUGUUCGUGAUGUCUACAGACGCAUGAGGACCUUGUAUUGAUUGCAUCAAACCUCAUCAAUUUGCGCCCAUGACCGGUUCCCGAUCCCUUUGGAAGCACACACGUUGUUCAUCGGAUAUAUAGGUUGCUGGAAGCAAGAGACACAUUGAAAAAAGUCCUUGUGCAAACAUGGCAGACACAAGGAUCAGAGGAGAGGAGCGCCACAGAUGACAAACAUCCUGCUAGAAUACAUGUAGGGCCUUACAGCAUACGCUGACCACACGAGCUGCUUCAUACCGCCCAUCAACUUCAAACCUGUCAGACUUUACCAAAGUGAAAUGGAUGAUAUUCAUGUUGAUAUUUUUUUUAAUAAAAUAUUUUCU